UUAACAUGUUCAUCAAUUGCUGAUAUUGAUUGGAAUUUAAAGUCUGCAUAAAGUUUCCAACAUUGCCACAUGCUUGCUCUCAGAAAAAGAUUCAGAGACUUGGUUUGAAAUGGCAUGGUUUACUUGAUUGCUAGAGGUUGAUUUCUACUUUAUUUUGAAUCCAGGUGGGUAACCGUGCAAUUUUAUAACAUUUAUCCACUUCAUGCCCUGUGUAUCCGCCAUAAGUACAAACAGGUCUCUCCCUCCUCUGAAUUUUGUUGUACCGUUUGGCAUCAUUCUUAACUUGGAAUGCCAUUGAAUCAGUGUUACCAGCAGCAUUAAUGUUCGCAUUGAAGCUCCUUUGUUGUUCUUCUUGAGAUAUGAGUGUGAAUCCUUUGUUUACGGAGGGAAGAGGGUCCAUCAUCAACAACUGACCUGGCACCUGAGCAAAUGAAUCAUUUAGCCCCAUUAAGAAAGACAUAACAUACUCCAUAUGGUAGGGAUCUGUCAGCUUCUUCGUUCCCCCACAAUUGCACUUUCCACACGUACAUAUUGGUCUGUAAUUGCUGAGCUCCUCCCAAAUGGUUUUCAACUUUGUAAAAUACACACUUACAGAAGAUUGACUUUGGGUAAUGUUCAUCAGUUAUCUCCUCAACUGAUAUAUAUGAGGAGCAUUCUUUUGUUGAUAUCUCUCCUUGAGAUCAUCCCAAAUUUCUUGAGCAGAUUCAGCAUAGAUAACGCCAGCUGAAAUAUCUUUGGAAACUGAGUUAAGAAUCUAUGAAAUCACAAUGUUAUUGUUUCAGAUCCAGGCAUUCAACAAAUCUUCAUUCUCCUUAGGUUUCAGUAUGGAUCCAAUGAUAAAUCCUAUCUUAUUCUUCAUAGAUAAAGCUAUGUAUAUAGCACGACUCCAGGAAGCAUAGUUCUCUCCUAUCAAAGGUUGGGAAACAAGAACCAAACCUGGAUUAUCAGAAUGAUGCAGAAAGUAGGGGCUCGAUCCAUCCUCUAUGGUGGAAUUGCUCAUCGAGUAGGAAGAUGAAUUGAAGGAUUGGUUUUGAUUUACAGCUUCUACCAUUUUGUUUCAAAGACGUGCAAAUUAUUACAAUGAAAAAGGAAGCAAAUUAUUGCUUUGAUACCAUAUUGAAAUGAAGAGGAAUUUAUUCUCAUUCAAGUGAAAUGGAUUACAAAUCUCGAAUAUAAAUAGAUCUCUAGCAAGCAAACUGAAUAUACAUUCAAGUAACUAACUAUUACAUCCAAUGUGAAGAUUACACGUGGCUAACUAACUAUCACAGCUAACUACCAUGCUAACUAAAUUGUGUUACAGCUGGAUUGGAACGUUAUACAGUUAUCAAUCUAAUCAAAGAAAACUGUUUAUGAAUUAAAGAGAAUUACUCGUGGAUUUUUGAAUGAAGUCAUGAAUUUUCAGUUCAAAUCAAAUAUAGUAAAUAACUAAUUUACCUUAAUUACGGUGCUCCCAGUGCUUGCACCUUUGGAUUGCCAACGUUGUAUAAUAAAACGGCACAAAUACAGAGAAUAAGUAACCAAAAAAAAAAAAAAAGAUAAAAUCAUGCAAAUCAAUUGUUGAACUAACUCAUCAAAUUUGUUGGACCUAAAUUUUUCACAAAUCUCACGAACUGCUCCAACAAGCUCAGAUGAUUCCGGAAGAAAUUGAAGGUGACCCAUGGUAGAACUAAAUGUGCCUGGCUGAGAAGAAUGUUGUGGUGGUGCUCCACGAUUGAGAGAAAGGCCAGAUAUGGAAGUAACUGGGAAAAAAUCGUCAUUGCGCUUGUGAUUUUGGAUGGGAAUUGGUGAUAUUUCUAGCGGUCUGGUGGGCAGCCAAUGGUCGAAGGUUGUAGAGGGAGGUGAGAGGGUGCCGGUGGUGUGUGGUUCAGGCGGCUUAGGUGGCGGGUGGUGGUUGUUAUUGAUGGAAGGAGGCGGCGAAUCAGUAGCUUGAGAAAGCGUAAUAUUUUUGGGGCAAAUGGAAGGAGGCGGGAGAGGCGUGAGUGAGAGUUCGGGUUCGAG
rnacentral:lncRNA from 1 species